GAUGAACGCUAUCUACAGGCUUAACACAUGCGAGUCGAGGGGCAGCAUGGUCUUAGCUUGCUAAGGCCGAUGGCGACCGGCGCACGGGUGAGUAACGCGUAUCCAACCUGCCUUACACUCUUGGACAGCCUUCUGAAAGGGAGAUUAAUACAAGAUGUUAUCAUGAGUAAGCAUUUUCGCAUGAUUAAAGGUUUACCGGUGUAAGAUGGGGAUGCGUUCCAUUAGAUAGUAGGCGGGGUAACGGCCCACCUAGUCUUCGAUGGAUAGGGGUUCUGAGAGGAAGGUCCCCCACAUUGGAACUGAGACACGGUCCAAACUCCUACGGGAGGCAGCAGUGAGGAAUAUUGGUCAAUGGACGAGAGUCUGAACCAGCCAAGUAGCGUGAAGGAUGAAGGUUCUAUGGAUUGUAAACUUCUUUUAUACGGGAAUAAACGAAUCCACGUGUGGAUUUUUGCAUGUACCGUAUGAAUAAGGAUCGGCUAACUCCGUGCCAGCAGCCGCGGUAAUACGGAGGAUCCGAGCGUUAUCCGGAUUUAUUGGGUUUAAAGGGAGCGUAGAUGGGUUGUUAAGUCAGUUGUGAAAGUUUGCGGCUCAACCGUAAAAUUGCAAUUGAUACUGGCAGUCUUGAGUACAGUUGAGGUAGGCGGAAUUCGUGGUGUAGCGGUGAAAUGCUUAGAUAUCACGAAGAACUCCGAUUGCGAAGGCAGCUUACUAACCUGUAACUGACAUUGAUGCUCGAAAGUGUGGGUAUCAAACAGGAUUAGAUACCCUGGUAGUCCACACGGUAAACGAUGAAUACUCGCUGUAGGCGAUAUACAGUCUGCGGCCAAGCGAAAGCAUUAAGUAUUCCACCUGGGGAGUACGCCGGCAACGGUGAAACUCAAAGGAAUUGACGGGGGCCCGCACAAGCGGAGGAACAUGUGGUUUAAUUCGAUGAUACGCGGGGAACCUUACCCGGGCUUAAAUUGCAACCGAAUAUGGCGGAAACGCUAUAGCUAGCAAUAGCGGUUGUGAAGGUGCUGCAUGGUUGUCGUCAGCUCGUGCCGUGAGGUGUCGGCUUAAGUGCCAUAACGAGCGCAACCCUUGCCGAUAGUUACUAACAGGUCAUGCUGAGGACUCUGUCGGGACUGCCAUCGUAAGAUGUGAGGAAGGUGGGGAUGACGUCAAAUCAGCACGGCCCUUACGUCCGGGGCUACACACGUGUUACAAUGGGGGGUACAGAGGGCUGCUACCACGCAAGUGGAUGCCAAUCCCAAAAACCUCUCUCAGUUCGGAUUGAAGUCUGCAACCCGACUUCAUGAAGCUGGAUUCGCUAGUAAUCGCGCAUCAGCCACGGCGCGGUGAAUACGUUCCCGGGCCUUGUACACACCGCCCGUCAAGCCAUGGGAGCCGGGGGUACCUGAAGUGCGUAACCGCAAGGAGCGCCCUAGGGUAAAACUGGUGACUGGGGCUAAA
rnacentral:rRNA from 1 species